GAUGAAGAACGCAGCGAAAUGCGAUACUUGGUGUGAAUUGCAGAAUCCCGUGAACCAUCGAGUCUUUGAACGCAAGUUGCGCCCGAAGCCAUUAGGCCGAGGGCACGCCUGCCUGGGCGUCACACGUCGUUGCCCCCCCAUCUACUCCUUCGGGAUUGCGGGGGGCGGAUGAUGGCCUCCCGUGCGCCUUGUCGCGCGGUUGGCAUAAAUACCAAGUCCUCGGCGACGCACGCCACGACAAUCGGUGGUUGCGAAACCUCGGUUGCCUGUCGUGUGCGGUCGUCGCGCAUCGAGGGCUCGAAAAAAUUGCCGGGCUCCGGCUCGGCUUUCAACGCGACCCCAGGUCAGGCGGGGUUACCCGCUGAAUUUAAGCAUAUCAAUACGGAGGA
rnacentral:misc_RNA from 1 species